rnacentral:rRNA from 1 species
GAGGGGGCGUAGGUGACCUGCGGAGGGACAUUACACAAAUAUGAAGGCGGGCUGGAACCUCUCGGGGUUACAGCCUUGCUGAAUUAUUCACCCUUGUCUUUUGCGUACUUCUUGUUUCCUUGGUGGGUUCGCCCACCACUAGGACAAACAUAAACCUUUUGUAAUUGCAAUCAGCGUCAGUAACAAAUUAAUAAUUACAACUUUCAACAACGGAUCUCUUGGUUCUGGCAUCGAUGAAGAACGCAGCGAAAUGCGAUAAGUAGUGUGAAUUGCAGAAUUCAGUGAAUCAUCGAAUCUUUGAACGCACAUUGCGCCCUUUGGUAUUCCAAAGGGCAUGCCUGUUCGAGCGUCAUUUGUACCCUCAAGCUUUGCUUGGUGUUGGGCGUCUUGUCUCUAGCUUUGCUGGAGACUCGCCUUAAAGUAAUUGGCAGCCGGCCUACUGGUUUCGGAGCGCAGCACAAGUCGCACUCUCUAUCAGCAAAGGUCUAGCAUCCAUUAAGCCUUUUUUUUCAACUUUUGACCUCGGAUCAGGUAGGGAUACCCGCUGAACUUAA